rnacentral:rRNA from 1 species
GACGAACGCUGGCGGCGUGCUUAACACAUGCAAGUCGAACGGAAAGGCCUUUUCGGAGGUACUCGAGUGGCGAACGGGUGAGUAACACGUGGGUGAUCUGCCCUGCACUCUGGGAUAAGCCUGGGAAACUGGGUCUAAUACCGGAUAGGACCGCACUUUAGUGUGUGUGGUGGAAAGUUUUUUCGGUGUAGGAUGAGCCCGCGGCCUAUCAGCUUGUUGGUGGGGUAAUGGCCUACCAAGGCGGCGACGGGUAGCCGGACUGAGAGGUUGGUCGGCCACAUUGGGACUGAGAUACGGCCCAGACUCCUACGGGAGGCAGCAGUGGGGAAUAUUGCACAAUGGGCGCAAGCCUGAUGCAGCUACGCCGCGGGGGGGAUGACGGCCUUCGGGUUGGAAACUCCUUUCGCCAGGGACGAAGCGUUUUGUGACGGUACCUGGAGAAGAAGCACCGGCUAACUACGUG